UGGAGUCCAGCCAAACAAUGGGACAGAGAUUUUGAGAUUCCAGGGGAAACAUAUAUAUUACACAUGUAUCUUCAAGAGAUCAAAGGAAAGAACAUGGGACAGGCGAGAUGCUUCUGGUGGGUGCAGAACAUGUCAUGCAUGAAGAGGAAGGAGGGUUUGGAGCACUGAGACCAGCUCUUCAGUGCCCACUCGAAGGUAUCCAGCUCCUCCUGGAUGACAUUGUUGCUGUUGAUGGUUGGCACAGAGUCUUCAUGGAUGAUGUACUUAUACGUCAGGCUAGAGCGUGUGUCGUUCUCCUGAGGUAUGAUCUAAUACACAUAUAUGUGAGAGAGAUGCAAUUAAUAUGCAAGCAACUAGAGACUUAACUAUAAAGCUAAGCAUUUCAGAAUAUUGAUAUUUUAAAAACUGGAAAAUGUUUUUAGAAUGUUUUGUUCCCAUCAACUCAAGUGGUAGCGUGUGAUAUUAAAGAAAAACUUUGAAUAUAAAAUAUGCUGACGAGUAAAUGCUGACAUUAUCAAAAUAAUGUAUUUUCUAUGUUACCUUAAAGUGGGUCGCCUUAAAUUAUACCAUCUCUUCAGUGUAUUUUAAAGUUCGCUAAAAUAAAAUGAUUUACUAUAA